AGAUGAGAAUCUCAGAGGACAUGUUGUUCACUGCAAUAAAUCCAUUGCCAUCUAAACCAUCCCUUUUGUUUCUUCAUCUCUGCAUAUCCUCAAGACCUCUCCACAUGCCCUCAAGACCUCCCUACGUAUACAUGCCUCUUCUUUCAUUUCUGAUCAGAUUCUCUCUCUCUCUCUCUCUCUCUCUCUCUCUCUCUCUCUCUCUCUCUCUCAUCUUUACUAGAAAUACUACAGAUCAAUGCGUCAUGCAUAAGGUGUAUUGAAAAAAAUAUGAGAUAUUGGUGCGGUUCAAUUUGAAAGUACUUCUCUAAGCCAAGGGUUCUAUUUUUGGAUUGAGCCGUGCCAAUAUCACAUACUGGAAGCCACUCUUUCUUGUUUUGUGCCGAGUAAAUUUAAAAAGCACGGGCUGAGACCGGUGAAAUCAAAGGGCAUUGCUUGAACGCUACUACUCAUACAUGCGACGAAAUGAUCAAAAGAGUUGUAUUUGCUGGAGAAUAUAUGAGUUCGUACCAUAAAUAAUCAUAUGACUAUUUAACUGAGGAACCAAGUGGGAAAAGCCCUUGGGCGCCCUUAGUUGUGGUGCACCUCAGGUUAGUUGGUAAGCUCCUUCGAUACUUAAGUUCACAAGCUC